AUUGAACGCUGGCGGCAUGCCUUACACAUGCAAGUCGAACGGCAGCACGGGAGCAAUCCUGGUGGCGAGUGGCGAACGGGUGAGUAACAUAUCGGAACGUGCCCAGUCGUGGGGGAUAACGCAGCGAAAGCUGUGCUAAUACCGCAUACGAUCUACGGAUGAAAGCGGGGGAUCGCAAGACCUCGCGCGAUUGGAGCGGCCGAUAUCAGAUUAGGUUGUUGGUGGGGUAAAAGCCCACCAAGCCGACGAUCUGUAGCUGGUCUGAGAGGACGACCAGCCACACUGGAACUGAGACACGGUCCAGACUCCUACGGGAGGCAGCAGUGGGGAAUUUUGGACAAUGGGCGCAAGCCUGAUCCAGCAAUGCCGCGUGCAGGAUGAAGGCCUUCGGGUUGUAAACUGCUUUUGUACGGAACGAAACGGCCCACUCUAAUACAGUGGGCUAAUGACGGUACCGUAAGAAUAAGCACCGGCUAACUACGUGCCAGCAGCCGCGGUAAUACGUAGGGUGCGAGCGUUAAUCGGAAUUACUGGGCGUAAAGCGUGCGCAGGCGGUUAUAUAAGACAGAUGUGAAAUCCCCGGGCUCAACCUGGGACCUGCAUUUGUGACUGUAUAGCUAGAGUGCGGCAGAGGGGGAUGGAAUUCCGCGUGUAGCAGUGAAAUGCGUAGAUAUGCGGAGGAACACCGAUGGCGAAGGCA
rnacentral:rRNA from 1 species